rnacentral:piRNA from 1 species
AAAUGCGGAUAUGGGACUGAGAC